rnacentral:rRNA from 1 species
UACGUAGGGUGCAAGCGUUAAUCGGAAUUACUGGGCGUAAAGCGUGCGCAGGCGGUUGUGCAAGUCAGAUGUGAAAUCCCCGGGCUUAACCUGGGAACUGCAUCCGAAACUGCUGGGCUAGAGUGUGGUAGAGGGCGGUGGAAUUCCAGGUGUAGCGGUGAAAUGCGUAGAUAUCUGGAGGAACACCGAUGGCGAAGGCAGCCGCCUGGGCCACAACUGACGCUGAGGUACGAAAGCGUGGGGAGCAAACAGGG